UUCCUGAACUUGAAACCUUUUGUUUACUUA
rnacentral:piRNA from 1 species